rnacentral:tRNA from 1 species
GCCUCGGUAGCUCAGUUGGUAGUAGCAGGGGACUGAAAAUCCCCGUGUCGGUGGUUCAAGUCCGCCCCGAGGCA